GAUGAACGCUAGCGAUAGGCUUAACACAUGCAAGUCGAGGGGCAGCACAAGGUAGCUUGCUAUCUGGGUGGCGACCGGCGCACGGGUGCGUAACGCGUAUGCAACUUGCCCUAUACAGGAGGAUAACCCGUCGAAAGACGGACUAAUACUGCGUAUGCUCACAACUUGGCAUCAAGUGGUGAGGAAAGAAAUUCGGUAUAGGAUAGGCAUGCGUCCCAUUAGCUUGUUGGUGAGGUAACGGCUCACCAAGGCAACGAUGGGUAGGGGAACUGAGAGGUUUAUCCCCCACACUGGUACUGAGACACGGACCAGACUCCUACGGGAGGCAGCAGUGAGGAAUAUUGGUCAAUGGGCGCGAGCCUGAACCAGCCAAGUCGCGUGAAGGAUGACUGUCUUAUGGAUUGUAAACUUCUUUUAUACGGCAAUAACAAGAGUCACGUGUGACUCCCUGCAUGUACCGUAUGAAUAAGCAUCGGCUAACUCCGUG
rnacentral:rRNA from 1 species